rnacentral:piRNA from 1 species
UGGUAUCCCCAAAGUGUGUGGU